GAAAUCUUGGAUGCAUCAGGAUUUCAGCAGUUCGUUCAUGGUUCAACACAUAUCAGUGGUAAUACUCUGGAUUUGGUUCUUGCACGUGGCCUUGCUGUCACAAAUAUCAACAUCCUGCCUCUUGCAUCAGCGGUCUCUGACCACUCGCUUAUUAGGUUUACAAUUACG